CUGGGCAGAGGUAGCAGAUUGUAUAGUUGUAGGGCAGAGAUUUUGCCCCAGAGGAGAUAACUAUACAACUUGCUGCCUUUCUUAG
rnacentral:pre_miRNA from 1 species